ACGCUGGCGGCGUGCUUAAUACAUGCAAGUCAACUUGACUUUAGAUAGCAAUAUCGAAAAGUAGGGUGGCGCACGGGUGCGUAACGCGUAGGUAAUCUGCCCUGAGGUCUGACAUAACCCGUCGAAAGGCGGGCUAACAUCAGAUGAUAUAUAAUCACGACAUCGUGGAAAUAUCAAAUCUUCGGAGCCUUGGGAUGAGCCUGCGUCUGAUUAGGUAGUUGGCGGAGUAAUAGCCCACCAAGCCUACGAUCAGUAGCUGGUCUGAGAGGAUGAUCAGCCACACUGGAACUGAGACACGGUCAGACUCCUACGGGAGGCAGCAGUAAGGAAUAUUGCUCAAUGGGGGAAACCCUGAAGCAGCAACGCCGCGUGAAGGAUGAAAUACUUUGUAUGUAAACUUCUGUAAGAUGGGAAAAAUAUUCUCCUCGGGAGAAUUGAUUGUACCAUCAGAGUAAGCCCCGGCUAACUACGUG
rnacentral:rRNA from 1 species